rnacentral:rRNA from 1 species
CAGUAGCCACGGUAAUACGUAGGGUGCGAGCGUUAAUCGGAAUUACUGGGCGUAAAGCGUGCGCAGGCGGUUAUAUAAGACAGAUGUGAAAUCCCCGGGCUCAACCUGGGACCUGCAUUUGUGACUGUAUAGCUAGAGUACGGUAGAGGGGGAUGGAAUUCCGCGUGUAGCAGUGAAAUGCGUAGAUAUGCGGAGGAACACCGAUGGCGAAGGCAAUCCCCUGGACCUGUACUGACGCUCAUGCACGAAAGCGUGGGGAGCAAACAGGAUUAGAUACCCGCGUAGUCCCUGUCUCUUAUAA